AUGCGUUCCAUCCAUCUGCGCCGCCGCUUCCGAUCGCAGUUACCGCGCGUGCCAUCUCCCGCGACUUGCUCCGCUGCCGCCGCGCGCUGUCUCAUCCACGCCACCGCUGCGAUGUCAUCCGCCGCUAUGUCCGUCGCCCAAACUAGCGGCGCGAUCGUCUCUUCUCUCGUCGCCUCGAUCCCCGCCGCGCUCGUCGUCCCGAUGAUCUCCGUCCGCCUCGGUCGCCACAACUUCAUGCUCUGGGGGGCCAUCACCAGCACCGUUCUUGCCGGUGCCAACCUCCAUGGACACCUCGAUGGCACCAAGGCGGCACCGGCCAAAACACUCGUUGUCGGCACCGGCGACGCUGCUACCACCAUCGCCAACCCGGAGUACCACCAAUGGUGGGUUCAAGAUCAGCGCGUCAAGGGGCUUCUUCUCACCUCCAUGGAUGAGGAUAUUGCAUGCCAACUUAUUGGCUGCGAGUCGGCGCAUACGGUAUGGACAGCCGUCGCCGCCAUGUUCGGCGCCCAGAGCCGCGCCAAUGUCCGCCACAUCCCGCGGCAACUUCAGUCGCUGAGGAAGGAUGAUCUGUUUGCCGCGGAAUACGUGCACAAGAUGAAGGCCCUGGCCGACACUAUGGCCGCCGCCGGCUCUCCGAUCCGGGAUGAUGAGCUUAUCGAUCACAUCCUCACUGGCCUCGGCUCCGCCUACAACUCCAUCGCCGCCUCCUUGGGCGUGAGUAAUGCACCCAUGCCCUACUCCAGUUUUUACUCAUUGGUUCUGUCCUUCGAGGCGCUGCAGGCACAACAGAGUGCGGUGGAGGGGUGA
rnacentral:rRNA from 1 species